rnacentral:rRNA from 1 species
CAAUGGGCGCAAGCAGAAUAAGCACCGGCUAACUCCGUGCCAGCAGCCGCGGUAAUACGGAGGGUGCAAGCGUUAAUCGGAAUUACUGGGCGUAAAGCGCNCGCAGGCGGUUUNUUAAGUCAGAUGUGAAAUCCCCGGGCUUAACCUGGGAACUGCAUUUGNNACUGCCANGCUAGAGUNNNGUAGAGGGGGGUAGAAUUCCAGGUGUAGCGGUGAAAUGCGUAGAGAUCUGGAGGAAUACCGNUGGCGAAGGCNGCCCCCUGGACNAAGACUGACGCUCAGGNNCGAAAGCGUGGGGAGCAAA